rnacentral:tRNA from 1 species
GCACUGGUGGUGCAAUGGGUUAAACACUUGGCUGCUAACCAAAAAGUUGGUGGUUUGAACCCAUCCAGUGGCU